rnacentral:rRNA from 1 species
AUUGAACGCUGGCGGCAGGCCUAACACAUGCAAGUCGAGCGGAGCGGCGGACGGGUGAGUAAUGCCUAGGAAUCUGCCUGGUAGUGGGGGAUAACGUCCGGCAACGGGCGCUAAUACCGCAUACUAUCAGAUGAGCCUAGGUCGGAUUAGUGAGUUGGUGGGGUAAAGGCCUACCAAGGCUACGAUCCGUAACUGGUCUGAGAGGAUUAUCAGUCACACUGGAACUGAGAGGCGGUCCAGACUCCUACGGGAGGCAGCAGUGGGGAAUAUUGGACAAUGUGCGAAAUCCUGAUCCAGCCAUGCCGCGUGUGUGAAGAAGGUCUUCGGAUUGUAAAGCACUUUAAGUUGGGAGGCGUUACCAACAGAAUAAGCACCGGCUAACUUCGUGCCAGCCGCCGCUGUAAUUC